GAUGAACGCUGGCGGCGUGCCUAAUACAUGCAGGUCGAGCGAACAGACGAGGAGCUUGCUCCUCUGACGUUAGCGGCGGACGGGUGAGUCACACGUGGAUAACCUACCUUUAAGACUGGGAUCACUUCGGGAAACCGGAGCUAAUACCGGAUAAUAUAUUCAACCGCAUGGUUCAAUAGUGAAAGACGGUUUUGCUGUCACUUAUAGAUGGAUCCUCGCCGCAUUAGCUAGUUGGUAAGGUAACGGCUUACCAAGGCAACGAUGCGUAGCCGACCUGAGAGGGUGAUCGGCCACACUGGAACUGAGACACGGUCCAGACUCCUACGGGAGGCAGCAGUAGGGAAUCUUCCGCAAUGGGCGAAAGCCUGACGGAGCAACGCAGCGUGAGUGAUGAAGGUCUUCGGAUCGUAAAACUCUGUUAUUAGGGAAGAACAAAUGUGUAAGUAACUAUGCACGUCUUGACGGUACCUAAUCAGAAAGCCACGGCUAACUACGUG
rnacentral:rRNA from 1 species